CCUACGGGAGGCUGCAGUGAGGAAUAUUGGUCAAUGGGCGCGAGCCUGAACCCGCCAAGUAGCGUGAAGGAUGACUGUCCUACGGUUUGUAAACUUCUUUUAUCAAGGAAUAAAGUGAUGCACGUGUGCCUUUUUGUAUGUACUUUAUGAAUAAGGAUCGGCUAACUCCGUUCCAUCAGCCGCGGUAAUACGGAGGAUCCGCGCGUUAUCCGGAUUUAUUGGGUUUAAAGGGAGCGUAGAUGGGUUGUUAAGUCAGUUGUGAAAGUUUGCGGAUCAACCGUAAAAUUGCAAUUGAUACUGGCAGUCUUGAGUACAGUUGAGGUAGGCGGAAUUCGUGGUGUAGCGGUGAAAUGCUUAGAUAUCACGAAGAACUCCGAUUGCGAAGGCAGCUUACUAAACUGCCACUGACAUUGAUGCUCGAAAGUGUGGGUAUCAAACAGGAUUAGAUACCCCAGUAGUC
rnacentral:rRNA from 1 species